CAGUCGCCGCGGUAAUACGUAGGGUGCGAGCGUUAAUCGGAAUUACUGGGCGUAAAGCGUGCGCAGGCGGUUGUGUAAGACAGGUGUGAAAUCCCCGGGCUUAACCUGGGAACUGCGCUUGUGACUGCACAGCUAGAGUAUGGCAGAGGGGGGUGGAAUUCCACGUGUAGCAGUGAAAUGCGUAGAGAUGUGGAGGAACACCGAUGGCGAAGGCAGCCCCCUGGGCAAAUACUGACGCUCAUGCACGAAAGCGUGGGGAGCAAACAGGAUUAGAUACCCGCGUAGUCCCUGUCUCUUAUAC
rnacentral:rRNA from 1 species